CCCUGCAGCUCUCGCCUGCUUUCCCACUGAGCCUGGCCGGUACCUGGAUGGGAGACCUCCUGGGGAAAACUAAGGUUGCUGCUGAAA
rnacentral:rRNA from 1 species